UCCAAAACGACGUCCAAGAUAUGUAAGAAUAAGUCCUAGCCAAGAUUUAGCAACAGUGUAUACCUCCGGGAACCUUGCUAUGGCCUUGCCACUUU